rnacentral:rRNA from 1 species
GCUACGUGUGGCAGCAGUGGGGAAUAUUGCACAAUGGGGGGAACCCUGAUGCAGCAACGCCGCGUGGGUGAAGAAGUACUUCGGUAUGUAAAGCCCUGUCCACAUGGAAGAAAAUGACGGUACCUGACCAAUAAGCCCCGGCUAACUACGUGCCAGCAGCCGCGGUAAUCCGUAGGGGGCAAGCGUUCUCCGGAUUUACUGUGUGAAAAGUGAGCGUAGACGGCAAGGCAUGUCUGGAGUGAACGCCCUUGGCUUAACCAGGGGACUGCUUUUGAAACUGUGUUGCUGGAGUGCAGGAGGGGUAAGUGGAAGUCCUAGUGUAGCGGUGAAAUGCGUAGAUAUUAGGAGGAACACCAGUGGCGAAGGCGGCUUACUGGACUGUAACUGACGUUGAGGCUCGAAGGCGUGGGGAGCAAACAGGAUUAGAUACCCUUGUAGUC